rnacentral:piRNA from 1 species
CGGGCAGUACACAUGGUAUUA